UACGUAGGGCGCAAGCGUUGUUCGGAUUCAUUGGGCGUAAAGGGUGCGUAGGUGGCGCGGUAAGUCGGGUGUGAAAUCUUGGAGCUUAACUCCGAAACUGCAUUCGAUACUGCCGUGCUUGAGGACUGGAGAGGAGACUGGAAUUUACGGUGUAGCGGUGAAAUGCGUAGAUAUCGUAAGGAAGACCAGUGGCGAAGGCGGGUCUCUGGACAGUUCCUGACGCUGAGGCACGAAGGCCAGGGGAGCAAACGGG
rnacentral:rRNA from 1 species